UACAGAGGCCCCAAGCGUUACUGAGAAUCACUGGGUUUAAAGGGUGCGUAGGUGGCGCCGUAAGUCAGGUGUGAAAUCUCGGAGCUCAACUCCGAAACUGCACUUGAUACUGCGGUGCUCGAGUACUGGAGAGGAGAUUGGAAUUUACGGUGUAGCAGUGAAAUGCGUAGAUAUCGUAAGGAAGACCAGUGGCGAAGGCGAAUCUCUGGACAGUUACUGACGCUGAGGCGCGAAAGCUAGGGGAGCAAACGGG
rnacentral:rRNA from 1 species